CUGGAGGUAUCAGAAGUGCGAAUGCUGACAUAAGUAACGAUAAAGCGGGUGAAAAGCCCGCUCGCCGGAAGACCAAGGGUUCCUGUCCAACGUUAAUCGGGGCAGGGUGAGUCGACCCCUAAGGCGAGGCCGAAAGGCGUAGUCGAUGGGAAACGGGUUAAUAUUCCCGUACUUGGUGUUACUGCGAAGGGGGGACGGAGAAGGCUAUGUUGGCCGGGCGACGGUUGUCCCGGUUUAAGCGUGUAGGUGUGUGUUCCAGGUAAAUCCGGUUCACUUUAACACUGAGGCGUGACGACGAGGCACUACGGUGCUGAAGCAACAAAUGCCCUGCUUCCAGGAAAAGCCUCUAAGCAUCAGGUAACAUCAAAUCGUACCCCAAACCGACACAGGUGGUCAGGUAGAGAAUACCAAGGCGCUUGAGAGAACUCGGGUGAAGGAACUAGGCAAAAUGGUGCCGUAACUUCGGGAGAAGGCACGCUGACAC
rnacentral:rRNA from 17 species